CUAUAAGUAUCAUUCAAUACAUUUAUGACAUCACUCGUAUGCGUAUGCAUUGAUUAUCAUUGAUAUGAAUCACUGUAGACAAAAUGUACUAAAUGGCGAUGUCUCACACACACAGUGAAUACAAGUGAAGAUCAGUGAGGAAUUUUCGGAAAAUUAUAGUUUUCCGAGAAAUGUCGAAGUAAUCUAAAAGCGCUCGCGAAUGUAUGAUGCGCUCCGAAUAAUAAUAAUAAUAAUAAUAAUAAUAAUAAUAAUAAUAAUAAUAAUAAUAAUAUACAGAAUGCAAACGGCUCAUUUUUAUUGCCAUCUCAUUUGGGGUGUUUGGUGUUUCCUACAAGUUAUUGCCAACGACUAUGUUCAACUGUCACAUGAUGGACCAGUUGUACUGGGUGGGACAAUCACUUUUAGAGCAGAUGUAUACAGAGAUGGCAAACGACCAAAAGAAACUUUCAUAUACAUAUGGAAUGAUAAUUCAUUAAUGAAAUAUAAAUAUGAGAGCAAACAAACGUCAAAUACAACAACAUUUUGGAGCAUAAAUUAUCCACGUGAAAGCAACAUUACUGGAAACUAUACAGUGGAAUUAGAAGUCAAAUAUCUUCUCUAUUCAAUUUUUUGGGUAUUUUAUACAAGUGCUCGUAUCGAGUUUGAAAUUUCUGAAUCUCUUAAUGGUAAUAUAAUCAUAAGACAAGCUAAUAAAACCAUAGUGGGAGAAUAUAUCUCCUCUACAAAUGAAACCAAAUUAACGAUAGAUUUGCGAAAAGGAGAUUAUGACUUUAUAAUACAGAAAGCAACAGCGAUAUUGACAUAUUGGUUUAUUGACUGCAAGUAUUACGGUCAAACAAAUGAUUUUGCUUUUGUUUAUAACUUUACAAGUCCUGAUAUAACAUACGAAGUAGGAGCUUUAAUGAUCGUUUCAUACGACCCGCCAACAACCACAACCAUGGCACCUACAACUACAAUCGCACCUGUUAAUGUGACAACAGUUGCAUCCAAUAUUACUACUGCAAAUUUGAAUGGGCCUCUUGUCACAGUAAUAACAUUACCGAUAACUGUUACGAGUGUAAAACCUCCGAUGAAGUCUACAAUUGCACUUCCAAUUAAUACAAGCACAAUAGAACCUGCCAACAUAUCGUUGCCAUACAUUUGCUCAAAUACAUCUUUCAUUCCACCGGAUCCUAAGAAAACAUAUGGAUACUUUUACAAGAAAAUCCAUGUUCGUGCUCCCGUGUCAAAUAUCUCGGUGGAAGGUACGAAUUGGAUCCAACCAUGGGACAUGUUAUCUUUGAAUGUAACUUGCAAGGGAUCAGGUCCGUUUUCUAAGUGUCUUGAAUUUCACCGUGGAAAGUACAAUGCAACGGGAAAUGAAACGUGUAAUGACGUAGUUGACUUGCUCUCAUGCAAUUUUUCCAUUAUUCAUUAUUUUCUUGAGCCCGGUGUUUACACAAUAUUAAUCAUAUUAAACAACGAAGUUAGUACACAGAUUUAUCCACUAACGAUAAACAUUUAUAAAGUAACAACAAAACCGCAGUUAUCAGUUAUCAUAGUGCCAGUUUCUUGCUCAGUUGUUGCUGUGGUGCUGAUAGUAUUCGGCGUGGCGUAUUACAUCCAAAGUAGAGCGAGAUUCACGAUAGAAGUCGCGGACUUUGAUUUUGGACAAAGUAAUCCAGAGAUGGAGUACAAAACGUUUACGGAACGUUUACGAGAUUCAUUUAAUAACACUGUAAGACCUGGCAGCAAGCAGCUAAGCGUACGUUAUUACGGCAGCAUGAAUCAUUAAAAUAUACGGGCUGUGCAAAGCUAUGUGAUCUCUAUUGCCAUCUCUUUCUGUUGCUUUUUAAAUGUAGGAUAUAAACCACUCAGCAAUCCACAAACACUUCAGUGAUGCAUAAAAAUGAGAAAUAAUAGUUUUAAAAACGACACUGGAACAAAAGUUUCUGCAAGGAGUGAAAGAAAAUGAGUAAUGCGUUAUGCAAAAAUAUCCGUCGGCAAAAAUUUAACGACAUUACUAGUGAAGAGGUCUGUCGAAUGCUAUUGUGCGCUAAUAGAUACUGGAAAAUUUGAUUUAAAGAUAAAUUAUAAAAAGAAUGAGAAAGACAAUGUUGUAUGACAAUUUUUAACAUUAUCGAAUGAAAUCGAGAUUGUACAUAGAUGAAGAAAUUACAAUGUAUAUAUAGGCUGUGAAUAUAAUAUGUAAUGGUGUAUUUUUUUUAGAGUUGCUCUUAACAUGAAACACACAAGAGAAUUUGAUAUUUUUUUAAG